rnacentral:rRNA from 1 species
AUAAUACCCGAUAGUUCUCGGCUGCUGGAAUGCACCGAGUACUAAAGCUCCGGCGCCUAAGGAUGGGUCUGCGGCCUAUCAGGUAGUAGUGGGUGUAGCGUACCUACUAGCCUACGACGGGUACGGGUUGUGAGAGCAAGAGCCCGGAGAUGGAUUCUGAGACACGAAUCCAGGCCCUACGGGGUGCAGCAGGCGCGAAAACUUUACAAUGCUGGCAACAGCGAUAAGGGGACCUCGAGUGCCAGGUUACAAAUCUGGCUGUCGUGAUGCCUAAAAAGCAUUGCAUAGCAAGGGCCGGGCAAGACCGGUGCCAGCCGCCGCGGUAACACCGGCGGCUCGAGUGGUAACCGUUAUUAUUGGGUCUAAAGGGUCUGUAGCCGGCCGGAUAAGUCUCUUGGGAAAUCUGGCAGCUUAACUGUCAGGCUUUCAGGAGAUACUGUCUGGCUCGAGGCCGGGAGAGGUGAGAGGUACUUCAGGGGUAGGGGUGAAAUCUUGUAAUCCUUGAAGG